AUGAACAUACCUCUUAAGAAUAAAAUCUUUGCAUAGUAUCUUCGUCGCGGAGUCAUUCUUACUAAAGAUAACCUUAUUAAGAGGAAUUGGCAUGGAAGUACGCAAUAUGUAUUUUGUCCGCAUGAUGAGACAAUAAAACAUUUGUUCUUUCAUUGUAAAUUGGCUCGUUCUAUAUGGUCAGUCAUCCAGAUAGCUUCUGGCCUGUAUCCUCCGUGUAGUGUUGCUAAUAUAUUUGGCAACUGGUUACAUGGGAUUGAUCACAGGUUUAAAAUUCUUCUCAGGGUGGGAGCGCUUGCCGUGAUUUGGUCGCUUUGA
rnacentral:rRNA from 1 species